CACCUGGUAGCACACGGUGUGCAUCUGCCCUCAUUCCCUGGAUUGUCGCUCUGUCAGUAGGCAGAAGACCCCCGUUCGACUCGGGGCCGGGUGA